GGUAACUUGCCUGAGUUGAAAGUAAGGAAGUGGAAAAGAGUAAGAAAAAUAAUUUGAUUGUAAAUAAAGUUAGUAGUGUUUAACGAACGAGGAAGAUAAAUAAGGCUAUAGGUUACAAGUACUGUAAAGGAAAGUUAAUGUUGAGUAGAUGAAAAAUAGUAGAUUUAAAGUUUUGUACCUUGUGUAUCAGGGAAAAUUUAUAUAAACUAAAAAUUUAGACAUCCCGAAAUGAAUAUAGCUAAUUUUGUAUAAAGGUCCUUGUGGAAAAUAGGUUUAAAAUGCGGAAUUAAAGGUGAAAUGCUAAUCGAGAUUCAUUAUAUCUGGUUUUUUAAGAAAAAAUUUAAUUUUGUUUUGAGAUUGAUCAAGUCUUAGAGUUAAAUGUAGGAGGGAAGAGCUUCUUAUAAGUUAGAUUAAAGAAAAGUUAAGUGAAGUUUAAAAACUUAAAAUAGGCUUAAAAGUAGCUAUUUUGAUAAAGUGUUUUAACUAGAAUUGAGAGUAAAUAGGAUUUGUGAAAACUUUCGUUGAUUAUUAGAAAAUGAGUUAGAGUAAAGAAUAUUCACAUAUAAUGGUUUUAUUAGUAAAAAAAUGUGUUUAAGACAAAUAUUAGAGUAAAUAGUAAGGUUUAAAUAAGGAAAGGAAGAAUAAAGGAACUCGGCAAAAGGUUCCCCUGCCUGUUUAUCAAAAACAUGUCUGUUUGAAGGUAUAGAAAGUCUGGUCUGCCCACUGAAAAAUAUUAAAGGGCCGCGGUAAUUUGACCGUGCAAAGGUAGCAUAAUCGUUAGUUUUUUAAUUGGAAUCUUGUAUGAAUGAUUGGACAAGGGGAAGACUGUCUCUAUGUUUAUUUUUGAAUUUAACUUUUAAGUGAAAAGGCUUAAAUAGUUUAAAAAGACGAUAAGACCCUAUAAAGCUUAAUAGGUUAGAUUAUUUAAUUGAAUUAAAAAAUAAGAGUUAACUAAUUGCACGUAUUUUGUUGGGGCGACAAAGGUAAAAUUUUUAUUAACUACUAGAAUUUAAGACAAUUAUAAGUGAAUAAGAAAAAUAAGUGAGCCUGAAAUAAGAUUAGAAGAUUAAGUUACUUUAGGGAUAACAGCGUUAUUUUUUUUGAGAGUUCUUAUCGAAAAAAGAGUUUGCGACCUCGAUGUUGAAUUAAAAUAUCUAUGUAAUUGCAGAAGUUGCAUUAGUAGGUCUGUUCGACCUUUAAAAUUUUACGUGAUUUGAGUUCAGACCGGCGUGAGCCAGGUCAGUUUCUAUCUUUUAAGAAUAAAUGAGUCAUUUUAGUACGAAAGGAUUAAGUGGCUAAAAAUCUUUUUAGCUUGGUACUGUCUUGGCAGAUAAGAUGUAUGGGAUUUAGGAUCCUAGGAAAUAGAUUAAUUCUA
rnacentral:rRNA from 1 species